GGAAGGAUCAUUACUGAACUGUCAACACGAGUUGUUGCUGGUCCUCAAUGGGGGCAUGUGCACGCUCUGUUUACACAUCCACUCACACCUGUGCACCCUCUGUAGUUCUGUGGCUUGGGGGGCUCUGUCCUCCUGCUGUGGUUCUAUAUCUUUACACACACUCUGUAAUAAAGUCUCAUGGAAUGUAUACCGCGUUUAACGCAAUACAAUACAACUUUCAGCAACGGAUCUCUUGGCUCUCGCAUCGAUGAAGAACGCAGCGAAAUGCGAUAAGUAAUGUGAAUUGCAGAAUUCAGUGAACCAUCGAAUCUUUGAACGCACCUUGCGCCCUUUGGCUAUUCCGAAGGGCAUGCCUGUUUGAGUAUCAUGAACACCUCAACUCUUCAUGGUUUUCCAUGAUGGGCUUGGACUUUGGGGGUCUUGCUGGCCUAUAGUCAGCUCCUCUCAAAUGAAUCAGCUUUCCAGUGUUUGGCAGCAUCACGGGUGUGAUAACUAUCUACGCUUGUGGUUUUCUGCCAGGUAAUCCUCAGUAAUGGGGAUUCGCUGGGGCUCAUAAAUGUCUCUCCUCAGUGGAGACAGCUUUGUGAACGUUUGAUCUCAAAUCAGGUAGGACUACCCGCUGAACUUAAGCAUAUCAAUAAGCGGAGGAAAAGAAACUAACAAGGAUUCCCCUAGUAACUGCGAGUGAAGCGGGAAGAGCUCAAAUUUAAAAUCUGGCGUGCCUCUGGUCGUCCGAAUUGUAGUCUGGAGAAGCGUCUUCCGUGUUGGACCGUGUAUAAGUCUCUUGGAACAGGGCGUCAUAGAGGGUGAGAAUCCCGUCUUUGACACGGACUACCAAUGCUUUGUGAUGCGCUCUCAAAGAGUCGAGUUGUUUGGGAAUGCAGCUCAAAAUGGGUGGUAAAUUCCAUCUAAAGCUAAAUAUAGGCGAGAGACCGAUAGCGAACAAGUACCGUGAGGAAAAGAUGAAA
rnacentral:rRNA from 1 species